UACGUAGGGGGCAAGCGUUGUCCGGAAUCAUUGGGCGUAAAGCGCGUGUAGGCGGCUCGAUAAGUCUGCUGUGAAAGUCCAGGGCUCAACCCUGGGAUGCCGGUGGAUACUGUCGAGCUCGAGUCCGGAAGAGGCGAGUGGAAUUCCUGGUGUAGCGGUGAAAUGCGCAGAUAUCAGGAGGAACACCGGUGGCGAAGGCGGAUCUCUGGGCCUUGCCUGACGCUGAGGCGCGAAAGCUAGGGGAGCGAACAGG
rnacentral:rRNA from 1 species